rnacentral:rRNA from 1 species
GGGGAAUUUUCCGCAAUGGGCGAAAGCCUGACGGAGCAAUACCGCGUGAGGGAUGACGGCCUAUGGGUUGUAAACCUCUUUUUUCAGGGAGGAAUCAAUGACGGUACCUGAAGAAUAAGCAUCGGCUAACUCCGUGCCAGCAGCCGCGGUAAGACGGAGGAUGCAAGUGUUAUCCGGAAUCACUGGGCGUAAAGCGUCUGUAGGUGGUUUAAUAAGUCAACUGUUAAAUCUUGAGGCUCAACCUCAAAAUCGCAGUCGAAACUAUUAGACUAGAGUAUAGUAGGGGUAAAGGGCAUUUCCACUGGACCGGUGAAAUUUUAAAGGCCGCAAGGAGCACCGAUGUCGAAGGCAGCUA